ACAAGGGAUGUCAUAAUGGUCUCCAUGAAUGAAAAACUAUUGUCUGAGUGAUAAUACCUUUUAGCAUCUAGGAAAUGCUGGAACAUCUCAAUAAUCAGAUCAUCACAUUCAAAAGCCAACAUCACCACAUGAAUGAACUCUCGCAAAAUCCUUUUACAAUAUAAUCAAUCAUACUUGUCUCCUAGAUAUUUGCAUGAUAAGACAAUCAGUUGAUUCAAAUUGGGAUCUGAUCCAAACAAAUCUCCGAUUUCAGGCUAAGUCCCGAAACUGGAGUUGCUUCACUGGACUCACCCUGAGGAUUUGCGAUAUAUUGCUGGUGGUGUUUUGGUUGUCUAGCGACCGGCGAUGGUUGGUCAGGGAAGAGACAGUGGCUGGCUUUGGUUGUCUUACUUCUCUAUCUUGCAGGUCUGUUUGCGAGGCUUUUCUUAACAAUAAACUAAGGCAGAAAUCAAAAGAAAUACUGAAAGGAAAUUUCGAAGAGACAAAGGAAGUAUGGGAUUCUUCAAGGCUCUAAUACCAAAUUGAUGUAAAACAAAG
rnacentral:misc_RNA from 1 species